AAGAGGAUAUCCGAGGCUGUAGCUUUGGUUGAUCAAAUGUUCGUAAUGGAGUAUCAACCCAAUACCGUCACAUUUAACACUCUAAUCCAUGGGCUUUUUCUUCACAACAAAGCUUCCGAAGCAGUGGCUUUAAUUGAUCGAAUGGUUGCCAGAGGGUGUCAACCAGAUCUAUUUACUUAUGGUACCGUAGUAAACGGAUUAUGUAAGAGAGGUGAUAUUGAUUUGGCUUUGAGUUUGUUAAAGAAGAUGGAGAAAGGGAAAAUAGAGGCUGAUGUUGUGAUCUACACCACUAUCAUUGAUGCUCUUUGCAACUACAAAAACGUGAAUGAUGCACUCAAUCUGUUCACUGAAAUGGAUAACAAAGGAAUUAGACCAAAUGUUGUUACCUACAACUCCCUCAUAAGAUGCCUUUGUAAUUACGGAAGAUGGAGUGAUGCUUCUCGACUACUCAGUGAUAUGAUUGAGAGGAAAAUCAAUCCAAAUGUAGUCACUUUCAGCGCAUUGAUUGAUGCAUUUGUGAAGGAAGGGAAGCUUGUAGAGGCUGAGAAAUUGUACGACGAGAUGAUCAAAAGGUCUAUAGAUCCUGAUAUUUUCACUUAUAGUUCACUGAUCAAUGGGUUUUGUAUGCACGAUCGUUUAGACGAGGCCAAGCACAUGUUUGAGUUGAUGAUUAGCAAGGACUGUUUCCCAAACGUAGUGACUUACAAUACUCUUAUAAAGGGAUUUUGUAAGGCUAAGAGAGUAGAAGAAGGUAUGGAACUCUUCCGCGAGAUGUCUCAAAGAGGAUUGGUUGGCAACACAGUCACUUACAACACUCUUAUCCAAGGGUUAUUUCAAGCUGGAGAUUGUGAUAUGGCUCAAAAAAUAUUCAAAAAGAUGGUAUCUGAUGGCGUGCCUCCCGAUAUCAUAACAUACAGCAUUCUGUUAGAUGGACUCUGUAAAUAUGGGAAGCUGGAGAAAGCAUUGGUGGUAUUCGAGUAUCUGCAAAAGAGUAAAAUGGAACCUGAUAUUUACACAUAUAAUAUUAUGAUUGAAGGGAUGUGCAAGGCAGGGAAGGUGGAAGAUGGGUGGGAUCUAUUUUGUAGCCUCAGCCUUAAAGGAGUGAAGCCUAAUGUAAUAAUUUACACUACAAUGAUAUCAGGAUUUUGUAGGAAAGGUUUAAAGGAAGAAGCAGAUGCCUUGUUUAGAGAAAUGAAAGAAGAUGGGACUCUUCCAAAUAGUGGUACCUAUAAUACGCUGAUUAGGGCACGCCUUAGAGAUGGUGACAAAGCAGCAUCAGCUGAACUCAUCAAAGAAAUGAGGAGUUGCGGGUUUGUUGGAGAUGCUUCAACAAUAAGUAUGGUGAUUAAUAUGUUGCAUGAUGGGAGAUUGGAAAAAAGCUAUCUGGAAAUGCUGUCUUGAAACAAUCAAUCCUCGAGAAACGAAUUGGGGAGCAACCAUCUUCCCUUGUGAUUGCAUAUGUGAGGUGAAUCGCCUUUUU
rnacentral:sRNA from 1 species